UCGUACGACGAGUUUUGAGGGGAUCAAUUUUGGGUUCGGAUUAAACCUAUUUGGGAUACCCGUUUAAUUGAGGAAAUGUUUUAUUUAUAAAACAUUUUCCUUUUAUUUUUCUUUCCCCAACUCAACGGCGACCCCAACCCUCUCCUCACCCAAACCCUUGUGAUCCCGACCUUUCUUCCUCCCCCGACGCCGAGUUCUUCCUUCUUCUUUCCUCUGGCUCCGAUCUCUCUCGGUUUCUCUUGCCUUCAUCGCCGAUCCUGAGGAGCUCGUCGCCAGAUCUCGACGGUGCUGAGGAAGACAAGUUGGAUCUGGCCGAGGGAUCUCUAUUUCGGUGGCUUCUUGCGCUGAUCAUCGGCGACUCCUUGGUGGCUAGGGCACGGUGAGGAGCAAGACUCGCAUUGUUUCCCAGCCAAUCGUCCACCGAAGCUUGGAGAGGUGCUCUGGUCCGGAUUUUGUGCCACUCGAUCGCCGGCGUGGGUUUUGGUUGAAGAUGAUGGGCUCUUGAGCUAUCGGGCAGAGGCUAGAAAGUUUUGCUUGAUCACUGCUUUCUCCUUCUUGAGCCGAUUGAUCAGUGAAGGUCAGUUCUGUGAUGUUCUUGAUCCAGUAGCUACUCACCUCACAUCUGGCAGUAAACCAUCCAGCAGCAACAGCAACUGGGAUUGAGGUAAGUGGAGAGGAAUCCAGUAGGUGGUUCUGUGAGAUUUCUUGCUCUUGGUUCUGUUAACAUUCCCACCUGCAAUUUCCCCUAGUUUCAGCAAAUCACUUUGUAUUCCAGCAACACAGUAACUGGAAUUGGGAGGGAGGUUCGUUCUGUGCUGUGGGGUUAUCCUUGUUCCGGCAGCACUCCUUCCAGCAGCUUCUUUUUGGCUGCGGAACAAGAGCAGUGGCUGAAUUGAGGAUUUUGAUUCGAGACAGGCGUCUC